UACGUAGGUGGCAAGCGUUGUUCGGAAUUAUUGGGCGUAAAGGGCGCGUAGGCGGUUUGUUAAGUCAGCUGUGAAAGCCCGGGGCUCAACCCCGGAGGGUCGGCUGAUACUGGCAGGCUAGAGUACGGAAGAGGUAGCUGGAAUUCCCGGUGUAGCGGUGAAAUGCGUAGAUAUCUGGAGGAACACCGGUGGCGAAGGCGGCAUCCUGGACCAACACUGACACUGAGGAGCGAAAGCCAGGGGAGCAAACGGG
rnacentral:rRNA from 1 species